AACGCCGCGUGAGUGAAGAAGGUCUUCGGAUUGUAAAGCUCUGUCCUUAGGGAAGAACCGUGGGUAUAGUUAAUGAUACCCACCUGACGGUACCUUUGGAGGAAGCACUGGCUAACUACGUGCCAGCCACCGCGGUGACUGAGCGGGCUGGCAAGGCGCAUA
rnacentral:rRNA from 1 species